AUUGAACGCUAGCGGGAUGCCUUACACAUGCAAGUCGAACGGAGUGGCGGACGGGUGAGUAACACGUGGGAACCUACCCAUCAGAGGGGGAUAACACUUGGAAACAGGUGCUAAUACCGCAUACUGAUGGAUGGACCCGCGGUGCAUUAGCUAGUUGGUGAGGUAACGGCUCACCAAGGCGACGAUCCGUAGCUGGUUUGAGAGGACGACCAGCCACACUGGGACUGAGACACGGCCCAGACUCCUACGGGAGGCAGCAGUGGGGAAUUUUGGACAAUGGGGGAAACCCUGAUCCAGCCAUCCCGCGUGUGCGAUGAAGGCCUUCGGGUUGUAAAGCACUUUUGGCAGGAAAGCGGUACCUGCAGAAUAAGCACCGGCUAACUACGUGCCAGCAGCCGCGGUAAUAC
rnacentral:rRNA from 1 species